GGGUGGAUGGACUCGGACGCCGUCAGCAACGGCAGGGCCAGGUGGAAGCAGCAGUUCCGAGAGGCGGUGUACGUCGGGGGCGACCCAGAGUCCCAGGCC
rnacentral:SRP_RNA from 11 species